rnacentral:lncRNA from 10 species
GAUGCAUGAAUCCACAUUUGAGACCCGCAACUCCGAGUUUGAAAUAACUGGCUGCUGCUCCCAGCAGUGUCACCACCACCACGGAUACGAUGGGAGACACGAUUUUUGCUACCAUAUUGCCUGCAGGAGUGGAGAAAAAGCAAGCUCAUCCGAGAAAAAAACAUGGCUGCAGGAAAACUGCUUAAAUAUUAGGUUGGUCCAAAAGUUAUUGCGGUUUUUGCCAUUGAAAGUAAUGACAAAAACUGCAAUAACUUUUGCAUCUAUCUAGUAACUUCUCCAUCACGUCCCUUCCCACCCUUGUAUUCACAGAAAAAAAAGAGAAACUUAAUUUAAAAAAAAAGAAAAAAAAACCUUAGGAAGUAAUUCUGUUUUCACAAAGAGCCAAGCUUGUCAACCACAUUUUACCACUGAAGACAUCCAAGGCCAGGAUUUGCACAGACGAGGCACUUGGCAUUUUUGUUUGUUUGUUGAAGUCAAUUCAUGUAUGCCUUUUAAUUAAUUUUAUUUAUUUAUUUAUUUAUUUAUUUCUUAUUAUUUUUUGAGACGGAAUGUUGCUCUGUCGCCCAGUCUGGAAUACAGUGGCGUGAUCUCAGUUCACUGCAACCUCCUUCUCCCGGGUUCAAGCGAUUCUCCUGCCUCAGCCUCCCGAAUAGCUGGGACUACAGGUGUAUGCCACCAUGCCCAACUAAUUUUUGCAUUUUUAGUAGAGAUGGGGUUUCACCAUGUUGGCCAGGCUGGUCUCGAACUCUUGACCUCAGGUGAUCCACUCGCCUCAGCCUCCCAAAGUGUUGGGAUUACAGAGGGGAGCCACCGCGCCUGGCCUGAUUUAUUUUUUUAGAGAUGGGGUCUCACUAUGCCGCCUAAGCUCGUCCUGAACUCCUGGGCUCAAGUGAUCCUCCUGCCUCCGCCUCCUGAGUAGUUGGGAUGACAGGCACAUGUCAAAACUAUUUUGUGCCUUUUUAGAUGUAGAAUGCCCACUCAUGCAAAAAUAUUGUUCCACUAAAAACUGCCAGAUAGGCUUGCUUUCAAAGGCAUGCUGGAACUCUAGACCCAAGCACACACUAGACACAAGCAUCCUCAAUGCCUCGAUGGCAAAUUGCUCCAGAGCUUUGGCACUCCUGCACAAAGAACAAGAAGGAGCUUGAUGUGACAAAAAUCAACACUUCCAAAGGGAAAAAAGGAAGAAAUCACCGUUUCCAUUUGAAAUAGCCACCCUUUCCAUGCAUGGCUUUCUUCAGACAGGGUUGAACACCUGGGCCAAUACAUGGCAUGGCAUAGGUGAGGGACACAAGACUGCUCCACGAAUGAGGCUGCCAUGCUGGGGGGAAGAGUGUUGUCACUGAACGCAAGAACCUGCUCUACGGCUGAUGCUGCCGCCCGCCACACCCUGCCUCCUGGGAGAGACAGCCCUCUAUUCUUCCCCUCCCUACAUGAACACGCUCCACAGUAUGAUUUCACAGUGUUCCCCAUCCAGAGGUGGAGCUGCAUCUUCAUUCUGAAAAUCCAGGCUUUAGCCAACAGAAUGUCACACAAGUGAAGGCAUGGUGGCUCUAAGCCCAGGCACGCUUCUCUUCAUGCUCUUGGUACCCUGUCUGGUCACCAUGUGAUGAAGCCUGGCCUGGCUUCCUGGAGGGAUGUGAGAGCCCACAUGAAGCUGAGAUGAGCCAUUCCACCUAAAGUCCCAGAUACAUAAGAAGACCCAGGAAACAUGGUCAAAGCGCUGGCCACACCUACAGUUGACUGCACACAAGAGAGGGAGUUCAGAAGAGACCAGGAGGACCACUAGAAUGGUGUCAGCCCAAAUUGCUGACUCACAUAAUCACGAACAUAAUAAAUGGUUGUUAUU